ACAGGAAUUCUUAUGCAGAGAAAAGAUAAUGUCUUAGAAUGGAUAUUUUUUACCACACAAAAAGUGGAAUGAAGGCAUCCAGCUAAGGAACCUGAAGAUGACUGGCCAAAUGAGACUUCUAAAGAAGAAGGACAAAUCAUCCAGAGAAAAUGCCCCAAGAAAAAGAACAAAUUGUGAACUGUGACUAUUCCUAACGGCAACCUUUGAAGUCUCCAAAAGGAUGUUGGGGCCCCACAACAAUGAAUUCACCUGGAUUGUGGUAAUGCCACUAAGCUGACAAACACCACCCAAAGAUCAUCAGCUUUGGACUACAAACUUCUUAGGACAGUUAGAUAAGAUGGUCCAGCCUCAUAGACUACUUCAGUCAGGACUUUAUAUAAUCCUUGCACUCUCCCAUUACAUCAAGACGGGGCAACAGGUAGCUCUCCCAAAACUUUCAAUCUUUAUCUCAAUUUUUUUCAGGGUCUCAUAAAGAUGCUGUUGCCCCUAGACAACAGAAAACAA